UCCACCACACUGUCCAGCACCAGCCAGGCUAUGUUGUUCUGCUUCGUUUUGAAGGAAACGUUAUAGGGAACCAUAAUGGCGGUGUAGAAGAACAUGGAACCUGGAAAUUGUGAAAAGGAGUUGAAAGAAUAGAUCUGAGAGCUCUGCUCCAUGCCAUCAAUGAAGCUAAGGCUGAGUGAACCUAUAUAAAUUCAAACAUCCCAUGGACCCCUAAAAGCACUGUAGCCCCACACACUGUGUUUAUAGACAAGCCUGCCCUGCUCAGCACCUCAGCAGAACAUGAGAUGUCUUCUCUAGAGAUGGAAUGGGAUCACUCCUAAGCCAUCCAGGACCUAGUUCUUCAGACAGUGACUUGCAUAUGUAAAAGGAUCCAGAAAUGCUACAAGAAGACAAGGAGCAGGAGCACGCAUGAACAACAAAGGAACACACAUGCUUGUGCUUUGAUGUCUCUCAGAUGCAGAGCACUACUUUGAUCUUCACUCUGACGCCGGCGCUUUUAUAAAGCAAUUUGUUACUGGAAGACAACUGUCCAGCCAGGAAUGUAUUUCCCAGCACUCCUUGCAUCCAGCUCUCCCCAUGUUCCCAGUUCUCAUCAAUGGAAUGAAAGCAGAAAUGAUGUGUGUCACUCUCACACAUGCCACAACUUAUGAAGCAGGUGAGACUUCUCUACACGUUCUCCCUCCUUCUACCAGCUGGAUACAAGUGACAACAAGCCCCUAGGGAAUAGUAAAGCACUGAAUCCGUGCACGGAAGGCUGCCAUAUGCCAAGGAUCACCUGCCUUCGACUGUAACGUGAGCAAGAAAUAUGCUUCUGCUGUGUUAAGCUGCUGGAAGAUGGGGGGGGAGGGGU